GGUGGGGCUCGUCCGGGCGGAGCCACCAGAGGGGGCGGAGGCAGGAAGCUUGUUGGUGGUGUGGGCGGAGAAGGAGGCAGAGUCACACUGAUGUUCAGACAGGUCUCAUCACAGAUACGCGGUCAUAUCCUCUCCUAAGCCACACCCACAGGGCAUCCAGUUUCCCCUGAAAGAACCGAACACAACAGCGGUUGGAAGAGAUCAACACUUCAAAGCACGUCGAGACAUUAUGAAACAAUGCAAGAACGAGUUCCCGGACUGGCUGAGGCCACCACAUCACACGCCACUUCUUCUGAGCUCCUUUCAGUAUUCUGAUGAAUGAAGUCGAUUGUUGUCCACUAGAAGACCACACCCUUUAUUUGCUUCAGCUGAAGAGAAAGCUUCCAGUAAGACUUACGUUCCCUCCUCCUUCAGUACCGGUGCUGGGCAGAGCAGGUACGUGUCUUCG